CUACGACUGCCGGAAGGACACCCUCAUCCCAGGGAUCACCCUUUGGGACCUGGACUCCCUUCAGAAGAAUGUUAGGAUCGGACCCCAGCCGAAAACGGAAUUCGAGAUCAUUGCAUCUGACUC
rnacentral:lncRNA from 11 species